rnacentral:rRNA from 1 species
UACGGAGGGUGCAAGCGUUAAUCGGAAUUACUGGGCGUAAAGCGUGCGUAGGCGGUUCGUUAAGUCUGCUGUGAAAGCCCCGGGCUCAACCUGGGGAUGGCAGUGGAUACUGGCGAGCUAGAGUGUGAUAGAGGAUGGUGGAAUUCCCGGUGUAGCGGUGAAAUGCGUAGAGAUCGGGAGGAACAUCCGUGGCGAAGGCGGCUCUCUGGACCAGCACUGACGUUGAGGCACGAAAGCGUGGGGAGCAAACAGG